CUCGUUCCAUUUAUGGAGUUCGGAACAUCCUUCGGCACCCGCAAAACAAGGCGUUGCAUCUUGCCGUCAUCUCGUGUCGUUUAGUUUGAGUUAAGUCCCGAAGCCAGCGCAACCCUUUUGUUAGUUCCCAUCAGUAAGUCCCCACAAAAACGAGACUGGGGGUGAUAAGCCGGAGGGAGGGGGGGAAAAAAAGACAGCAUCAUGCCCCUUUCGUCGUGUGCUACCCAGGUGCAACAACGGAUGCAAUAACAAGUCACGAGACAGUGAAGAUGAGCUAAUAUUAUAAAGCCACUGUCAGUUCGGCUUUUAGGCACUAACUUGCAUGCAUGAAGUAGGAAUCGUUAGUAAUCGUCAACCAGCCCGCCGCGGUGAAUACGUUGCCGGUUCUUGUACACGGCCAAACCGUCCCACCAAGGGAGUUGGGAGUACAGCGAAGGAGG
rnacentral:rRNA from 1 species